UACGUAGGCAGCGAGCGUUGUUCGGAGUUACUGGGCGUAAAGAGUGCGUAGGCGGUUUUCUAAGUUUGGUGUGAAAUCUCCCGGCUUAACUGGGAGGGUGCGCCGAAAACUGGAAGGCUUGAGUAUGGGAGAGGUAAGCGGAAUUCCUGGUGUAGCGGUGAAAUGCGUAGAUAUCGGGAGGAACACCUGUGGCGAAAGCGGCUCACUGGACCACAACUGACGCUGAUGCGCGAAAGCUAGGGGAGCAAACAGG
rnacentral:rRNA from 1 species